AACAACUCAAAGGAAGGAACCGGCUCUGUCAUGCGCUUCCGCUUCCGGUCUGCAGAACACCGCCCUCGAUAGUGACGCCAGCGACCCAUGUGUGGCUCAGCACAACCGACUUCCGAUUGGCUUCAGAUCGCCAGAACUACAGACUUCCGGUCCCUACAGACUGCUUCCGUAUCGGGGAUUGCGGGGAAAUAGAGUCGGGAAUUUCAAUUUCCAGUUCCAGUGCGCCCUACUUCCGCUUGGCUUCAGGUUGCCAGCAUGACCGAGUUCCGGUCCCAUUCUGGCUUCCCCUGCAGAGACGGGAAUGGGGCUUCUGAGACUCACGAUUCCCAACUUCCGGUUGGCUUCGGCAUGCCAGCACUAAUGACUUCCGGAUCCUGCUACUGGAUGGGAACGGCGCGCGGCUGGCUUCCAGCGACCGGAAUUUCGCUGGAAUCUCAGGACGCCUGACUUCCGCUUGGCUUCAGGUCACCAGCGCAACCCGGUCCCCGUCAAGUCUGGCUCGGUGCAAAAGCAGCUCCCGGUUUCCAGUGACUGCUGCUCAGUCCCAGCAUUCCAGUCUUCCGGAUGCCCGACUUCCGGAUGGCUUCGCCUGCCAGCACUAGCGACUUCGUGUCCCGGUCUUUCUGCUCCUACCGCGCACAGUGACGGGGAUUCAGCUUGUGAGCCCAGCACGCCAGACUUCCGGUUGGAUUCGCUUGCCAGUACUACCGACUUCCUGUCAGAGUCUUUCUUUUUUCCGACCCCGCAGGAAGAACGAC
rnacentral:lncRNA from 1 species